rnacentral:rRNA from 1 species
GGGGAUUUAGGUGGCCACACUCAUUCGAAUGAAUUGACUACUGCUAGUCGUACGAGGACCACGUGCGUGCUUGCACUUUCCGAAGUAAGUGGCGAACGGGUGAACAACACGCUGUAAUAACCUACCUCAGAGUCUGGGUAUAACCAUUGGAAACAGUGACUAAUACCGGAUAAAACCCAAGUGCACAUGCACUAAGGGUAAAAGCUGCGUUUGCAGCGCUUUAAGAUGGAUUCGCGGUGCAUUAGUUAGUUGGUGAGGUAAAGGCUCACCAAGACGAUGAUGCAUAGCCGAGUUGAGAGACUGACCGGCCACAUUGGGACUGAGACACGGCCCAAACUCCUACGGGAGGCUGCAGUAGGGAAUCUUCCACAAUGGGCGCAAGCCUGAUGGAGCAACGCCGCGUGUGUGAUGAAGGCUUUCGGGUCGUAAAGCACUGUUGUAUGGGAAGAACGGGUUUAAGAGGAAAUGCUUAGACAGUGACGGUACCAUACCAGAAAGGGACGGCUAAAUACGUGCCAGCAGCCGCGGUAAUACGUAUGUCCCGAGCGUUAUCCGGAUUUAUUGGGCGUAAAGCGAGCGCAGACGGUUGCUUAAGUCUGAAGUGAAAGCCCACAGCUCAACUGUGGAAUGGCUUUGGAAACUGGGCAACUUGAGUGCAGUAGAGGUAAGUGGAACUCCAUGUGUAGCGGUGGAAUGCGUAGAUAUAUGGAAGAACACCAGUGGCGAAGGAGGCUUACUGGACUGCAACUGACGUUGAGGCUCGAAAGUGUGGGUAGCAAACAGGAUUAGAUACCCUGGUAGUCCACACCGUAAACGAUGGAUACUAGCUGUUAGAGGGUUUCCGCCCUUUAGUGACGAAUCAAACGCAUUAAGUAUCCCGCCUGGGGAGU